UACGGAGGGGGCGAGCGUUAUUCGGAAUUAUUGGGCGUAAAGGGCGCGUAGGCGGCCCGGUAAGUCAAAGGUGAAAUCCCUCGGCUCAACUGAGGAACUGCCUUUGAAACUGUCGGGCUUGAGGCCGGGAGGGGGUAGCGGAAUUCCCAGUGUAGCGGUGAAAUGCGUAGAUAUUGGGAGGAACACCAGUGGCGAAGGCGGCUACCUGGACCGGUUCUGACGCUGAUGCGCGAAAGCGUGG
rnacentral:rRNA from 1 species